rnacentral:lncRNA from 10 species
GCUUACUGUCUGGAGAGGAAGAUACAUGGAAACAGGCAAUUACAAAACAAAAUGACAGGAGAGAAGAUAGAAUAAACCUAGGAUACUCAGAAGACAGAAGGAUACCCAGCGUAGCCUUGGGUGACCAGGGUAGACAUUUGGAGGAAGUAACAUCUGAGGUGACACCUGGAAGGCAAAUGAGCUAACUUGGUGAAGAGGGGAGGGGUUAUGUUCUAGGCAAAGACCUGGAGGUAAGAGAAUUAAAAAGUAUUUGGGAUUUGGUGUGCAAGUGGUUUGGUAGGACUGAAACAAUCUGGGCAAGACAUGCAGCCUGAGAGCCAAGCAGACACUGGGUCUUCAAAGCGAUGCUAUGGAGUUUAGAUUUAUCCUGAAGGCCAUGCAAAAGCAUUACGGAGUUUUAAGCAGAGGUGUGGUGUGAUCAGAUUUACAAU